GACGAACGCUGGCGGCGUGCUUAACACAUGCAAGUCGAACGGAAAGGCCUGUCCUUCCUUGUGUUGGACGGGUACUCGAGUGGCGAACGGGUGAGUAACACGUGAGUGAUCUGCCCCCAACUUGGGUAUAAGCCUGGGAAACUGGGUCUAAUUCCCGAUAGGACUGCAGGGUGGUGCCUGUGGUGGAAAACGAUUUUCUAGUGGUUGGGGAUGAGCUCGCGGCCUAUCAGCUUGUUGGUGGGGUAAUGGCCUACCAAGGCGGCGACGGGUAGCCGGCCUGAGAGGGUGGACGGCAACAGUGGGACUGAGAUACGGCCCAGACUCCUACGGGAGGCAGCAGUGGGGAAUAUUGCACAAUGGGCGGAAGCCUGAUGCAGCGACGCCGCGUGGGGGAUGACGGCCUUCGGGUUGUAAACUCCUUUCGACCGCGAGGAAGCCGCCUGGUUGGAAGGGUGGUGACGGUAGUGGUAGAAGAAGCACCGGCUAACUAC
rnacentral:rRNA from 1 species